rnacentral:rRNA from 1 species
CAGCAGCCACGGUAAUACGUAGGGUGCAAGCGUUAAUCAGAAUUACUGGGCGUAAAGCGUGCGCAGGCGGUUUGUUAAGACGGAUGUGAAAUCCCCGGGCUCAACCUGGGAACUGCAUUCGUGACUGGCAAGCUAGAGUAUGGCAGAGGGGGGUGGAAUACCACGUGUAGCAGUGAAAUGCGUAGAGAUGUGGAGGAACACCGAUGGCGAAGGCAGCCCCCUGGGCCAAUACUGACGCUCAUGCACGAAAGCGUGGGGAGCAAACAGGAUUAGAGACCCCUGUAGUCCCUGUCUCUUAUAC